AGUGAACGCUGGCGGUAGGCCUAACACAUGCAAGUCGAACGGCAGCACGGGAGAGCUUGCUCUCUGGGUGGCGAGUGGCGGACGGGUGAGGAAUACAUCGGAAUCUACUCUGUCGUGGGGGAUAACGUAGGGAAACUUACGCUAAUACCGCAUACGACCUACGGGUGAAAGCAGGGGACCUUCGGGCCUUGCGCGAUUGAAUUAACCGAUGUCGGAUUAGCUAGUUGGCGGGGUAAAGGCCCACCAAGGCGACGAUCCGUAGCUGGUCUGAGAGGAUGAUCAGCCACACUGGAACUGAGACACGGUCCAGACUCCUACGGGAGGCAGCAGUGGGGAAUAUUGGACAAUGGGCGCAAGCCUGAUCCAGCCAUACCGCGUGGGUGAAGAAGGCCUUCGGGUUGUAAAGCCCUUUUGUUGGGAAAGAAAUCCAGCUGGCUAAUACCCGGUUGGGAUGACGGUACCCAAAGAAUAAGCACCGGCUAACUUUGUGCCAGCCGCCGCAGUAA
rnacentral:rRNA from 1 species